GGCAGAGUUCAGUUUUGCCAGUGAGACUCAGCAACUCACUUAUUUUUUCUUCGGGAUGGAAGAGCUGUGGAUCUCCCUGAGACUGAUUCUACGGGUGUAUUCCUGCACGUCUUUAGGAUUUGGAAUGGAGAACCUUCAGACCAGAGCUUACACCAAGAGAUUGUGGAAGAGCCAAGAACUAAGCCCCAAGCCUGGCAUGGCCAAGGGUUUUCUCCUCUUUUGAGCCUUGCCUUGCUUUAAAAAGCAGCGGCUUGUGUAGCCUGGUGACUAACCUGCUACAGAAGAGUCUCUUUUAACUGGGGCCAGUCCUUGGACAAUGAUAGCUCACAGUUAUACAGCGUCCUGAAGAGGCAGCAUGUUGUAGAAGCUGAGAGAUCGCUUAAAUGCCCAGUGUCCUGGGCUGGAGACAUCCAACCCCACACAGUGCUGCCAGAACUACAUCACAAAGUGAUUCCUACCUGAUUUUAAUGUGUCGAUGUGUGAAAAAAGACAGAUAUAAACA